rnacentral:rRNA from 1 species
AUUGAACGCUGGCGGCAGGCCUAACACAUGCAAGUCGAACGAGUGGCGGACGGGUGAGUAAUGUCUGGGAAACUGCCCGAUGGAGGGGGAUAACUACUGGAAACGGUAGCUAAUACCGCAUACCAUCGGAUGUGCCCAGAUGGGAUUAGCUAGUAGGUGGGGUAACGGCUCACCUAGGCGACGAUCCCUAGCUGGUCUGAGAGGAUGACCCGCACCACUGGUGCUGAGACACGGUCCAGACUCCUACGUGAGGCAACAGUGGUGAAUAUUGCACAAUGGGCGCAAGCCUGACGCAGCAAUGCCGCGUGUAUUAAGAAGGCCUUCUGGUUGUAAAGUACUUUCAGCGAGGAGGCGUUACUCGCAGAAGAAGCACCGGCUAACUCCGUGCCAGCAGCCGCGGUAAUAC